UAACCUGGUGCCAAGGUUAAAAUAACAUUUC
rnacentral:piRNA from 1 species